UACAGAGGGUGCGAGCGUUAAUCGGAAUUACUGGGCGUAAAGGGUGCGUAGGUGGGUCUGUAAGUCAGUGGUGAAAUCUCCGAGCUUAACUCGGAAACUGCCAUUGAUACUAUAGGUCUUGAAUUAUCUGGAGGUAAGCGGAAUAUGUCAUGUAGCGGUGAAAUGCUUAGAUAUGACAUAGAACACCAAUUGCGAAAGCAGCUUACUACGGAUCGAUUGACACUGAGGCACGAAAGCGUGGGGAUCAAACAGG
rnacentral:rRNA from 1 species